AGGACGAACGCUGGCGGCGUGCUUAACACAUGCAAGUCGAGCGGAAAGGCCCUUCGGGGUACUCGAGCGGCGAACGGGUGAGUAACACGUGGGCAACCUGCCCCUAGCUCUGGGAUAACUCCGGGAAACCGGUGCUAAUACCGGAUAUGACCUCAAUUGGCAUCCUUUGAGGUGGAAAGAUUUAUUGGCUAGGGAUGGGCCCGCGGCCUAUCAGCUUGUUGGUGGGGUAAUGGCCUACCAAGGCGACGACGGGUAGCCGGCCUGAGAGGGCGACCGGCCACACUGGGACUGAGACACGGCCCAGACUCCUACGGGAGGCAGCAGUGGGGAAUAUUGCGCAAUGGGCGAAAGCCUGACGCAGCGACGCCGCGUGAGGGAUGACGGCCUUCGGUGUAACUACUUCGACUUCGACGAAGCCUUGGUGACGGUAGGGUGGAGAAGCACCGGCCAACUACGCGCCAGCAGCCGC
rnacentral:rRNA from 1 species